AAAGUCGACCUCCUUGUCAGGUCAGAUAGAUGACUGGCAUAUAGAGAUGCUUAAAACAUCAUUCUUUGAAUAACUGAAAACAGAAGCGACGAAGCAAGGAGCUUAGCGUACCGUUUUUGACUACCUUCUCUGUCAUGUCUGAGUUCUAACAUUCUAGGGAAUCUGUGCUUUGCUUUGUCAAUGUCACUUUCAAUAUGCUUCACACAUACAAGUUUGAUUGAACUGUUCACAUUGGCCAUCUAGAGAGAUUAUAUACAGUGUGCCGUUAGGGAGGAGAACUCUUGAAUAGGAAAGAGGGGGAAAACAGACGAUGAGAUCAGUCGCAGGCCAAUGAACAUAUCUAAAUCGACAUCAAUAAAUAGCUUUGCUUUGCGUAAAUAAAGAUAGAUGCCCCUGACUCGGGGAUUAGCCCUUCCUCGUCUCUUCCCUACCUUCUUGGGUCAGCAGUUGAUCUCGUUGCCUCAGACCUUUCUAGGGCGUGACCCCUACCCUAACAGAACGACUCGCCCUUCCAUGCGCUAAGCUGGGCAGAGCGCUUUCAGAAAGAGGACUGUACCGAUUAUAGAGUAGCAUUCUUCUCCUUCACAUCGUCGGUCAACUCUGGGGACAGUGGAUAGAGCUCGUCCCUAUUUGACUGAAGAGGGUAGGGUUCGCUCCUAUGACAAGUGCUGCUUGUUGACUGCCACAGACCGGCUUUCCUCAGUCGUUGACUGUGGCGAGGCUAGCCCUCUAUCAAGAGAAGAAGUUUUCCUGAAUCAAUGAGAGAGAUCAAUGUGCGAAUUUCCUUUCCAAUCUACCUCGUGGUUGAGAGAAAUGCGCCUGACUCGAUCGGUACCACUCCAACUGGCUUGGCUGGAAGGGGCUAUAAAAGGACCUGAUUGAGAUCACACUUCUUUUGGCCUGGAGAGGAGUCUGACGU
rnacentral:lncRNA from 1 species